rnacentral:rRNA from 1 species
GACGAACGCUGGCGGCGUGCUUAACACAUGCAAGUCGAACGGAAAGGCCCUGCUUUUGUGGGAUGCUCGAGUGGCGAACGCGUGAGUAACACGUGAGUAACCUGCCCUUGACUUUGGGAUAACUUCAGGAAACUGGGGCUAAUACCGGAUAUGAGCUCCUGCUGCAUGGUGGUUGUUGGAAAGUUUCGGCGGUUGGGGAUGGACUCGCGGCUUAUCAUCUUGUUGGUGGGGUAGUGGCUUACCAAGGCUUUGACGGGUAGCCGGACUGAGAGGGUGACAGGCCACAUUGGGACUGAGAUGCGGCCAAGACUCAUACGGGAGGAAGCAGUGGGGAAUAUUGCACGAUGGGCGGAAGCAUGAUGCAGCAACGCCGCGUGCGGGAUGACGGCCUUCGGGUUGUAACCCGCGUUCGCCUGUGAAGAAGAGUGAGUGACGGUAAUGGGUAAAGAAGCAACGGCUAACUACGUG